rnacentral:tRNA from 1 species
GUCAGAAUGACCUAGCGGUCUAAGGCGACACGUGCAGGUCGCAGUCCACUUCUGUGAGCGUAGGUUCGAAUCCUACUUCUGACA